GUCUUCCCUAGCAGAGCUAAAUGCACCAUUCUCCCUGCAAACUCUGGAGAUGAUGACAUCUUCCCACAUGGUUUCCAUAGCAUCCGUUCCUGAAGAGCCCCAAUAUGGUCCUUGGUCAGGGCGAUCCGCCCAGCUCCCCUAGAAAGUUGGCAACCUAGCUAGCCAAAAGAAGCAUCCCCUUUUCCUGAAACUUACUCUGUCCGUGGUGCUGAACCAUUGUACUGAGAUCCGCCCAGACGGGCGCUGUCAGCCGCUGAAAAAAGAUAUUCCCUGACGCUGCCCAAAUCAGAACGGUGUAUCUUUUAUUUACUCACGUCCUCAAAGAGCAGCAAGCCUUCUCCAUCUUAAUUUGACUCUACCGCAGAGCAGAGUUACGCUGGCGUGAUGGGAGGAGAUCAUGGGCAGAGAGGAAAAACUAAUAGCAGCAUUGCUCACCUGAGACCUGAGAUGCUCCCAUGAGUUUUGAAUAUGCUCUGUUCCUUACGGCAAAGACACCAUUUUUAAAAGUACUAUUCUUUUGACUUUGUUGUUACCCAAGGGUUCUGUGACAUUCCGGCCCCUCCGUUUAAAAACCAGCAGAUUUGAGAGCAGUAAAUCUUCAAAACGGGGAAUUUACAUUGUUUUUCAGCUGACCGACUUCCAGGACAAGGACUCAACCGCAUCUACCCAAAUACCAUGGUACUGCUUGCGCCCUUUGCCACCGGAUCCUCCCCUUCCAAUGAGACUUUCUGAUUGUGUCUACCAACUCUCCUAUUAGGAAACCCGUGGGUUGCAUGCAGCUAUUCUGUUGUAUUCUCAUUCUCACUCUCCCUCCCUUCUCUCACUCUCACUCUUGCUGGAGGCAAGCCACUACCAUUCUGCUGAGAAGGAAAAACCAACAACUACUUUAAGAGAUUAAGACAACAUGCGCAAUCCUCGCCGUUUUUAGCAAUCACUAUUUAAAUCUGGCAAGAACCGACAACAGUCUUUGCAAGAAUGGAAUCAGUAAAACAAAGGAUUUUGGCCCCAGGAAAAGAGGGGCUAAAGAAUUUUGCUGGAAAAUCCCUCGGCCAGAUCUACAGGGUGCUGGAGAAGAAGCAAGACACCAGGGAGACGAUCGAGCUGACGGAGGAUGGGAAACCCCUAGAGGUGCCCGAAAGGAAGGCGCCGCUGUGCGACUGCACAUGCUUCGGCCUGCCGCGCCGCUACAUUAUCGCCAUCAUGAGCGGCCUGGGCUUCUGCAUCUCCUUCGGCAUCCGCUGCAACCUGGGCGUGGCCAUUGUGGACAUGGUCAACAACAGCACCAUCCACCGCGGGGGCAAGGUCAUCAAGGAGAAAGCCAAAUUCAACUGGGACCCGGAAACCGUGGGGAUGAUCCACGGUUCCUUCUUUUGGGGCUACAUCAUCACCCAGAUUCCGGGAGGCUACAUCGCGUCUCGACUGGCAGCCAACAGGGUUUUUGGAGCUGCCAUACUUCUUACCUCUACCCUGAAUAUGCUAAUUCCAUCAGCAGCCAGAGUGCAUUAUGGAUGUGUCAUCUUUGUUAGAAUACUGCAGGGACUUGUUGAGGGUGUUACCUACCCAGCAUGUCAUGGGAUAUGGAGCAAAUGGGCCCCACCUCUAGAGAGGAGUAGACUGGCAACCACUUCUUUCUGUGGUUCCUAUGCCGGCGCUGUGAUUGCAAUGCCUUUAGCUGGCAUUCUUGUGCAGUACACUGGCUGGUCUUCAGUGUUUUAUGUCUAUGGAAGCUUUGGAAUGGUCUGGUACAUGUUUUGGCUUUUGGUGUCUUAUGAAAGUCCUGCAAAGCAUCCUACUAUUACAGAUGAAGAACGUAGGUACAUAGAAGAAAGCAUUGGAGAGAGUGCAAAUCUUUUAGGUGCAAUGGAAAAAUUCAAGACUCCAUGGAGGAAGUUUUUUACAUCCAUGCCAGUCUAUGCAAUAAUUGUUGCAAACUUCUGCAGAAGCUGGACUUUUUAUUUAUUGCUUAUUAGUCAGCCAGCAUAUUUUGAGGAAGUCUUUGGAUUUGAAAUUAGCAAGGUUGGCAUGCUAUCUGCUGUGCCACACUUAGUAAUGACAAUUAUUGUGCCUAUUGGGGGGCAAAUUGCAGAUUUUCUAAGAAGCAAGCAGAUUCUUUCAACUACAACAGUGAGAAAGAUCAUGAAUUGUGGUGGUUUUGGCAUGGAAGCCACACUACUCCUGGUUGUUGGCUAUUCUCAUACUAGAGGGGUAGCAAUCUCAUUCUUGGUACUUGCAGUGGGAUUCAGUGGAUUUGCUAUAUCUGGUUUCAAUGUUAACCACUUGGAUAUUGCUCCAAGAUAUGCCAGUAUCUUAAUGGGCAUUUCGAAUGGUGUUGGCACAUUGUCAGGAAUGGUUUGUCCUAUCAUUGUUGGUGCAAUGACAAAGAAUAAGUUGGAGAAAUGAAGAUUUGAAGAGGUAAAGAAUUAACUUACCAAGGUCACAAAGUCGUAAGAAUACAGACGUGCUUUUCUGGUUUAACUACGCCAAGUCAAAAAAAGCGAGGUGUGGAAUUAACUGCGUUGAAAAAUGAAAACUUUUGAUCUCAGUCUCCUUCACACUGUAAAUUAUUGAGGACCCCAAGGACUUUCAUUUUUUCCUCCAGUCCUCUACCAGUGCCUCCCAGUGGCCUAAACCAGCAGGAGCCAUAUGAAAAAGAAGUCUGGAAGAUGCUAGUCCUUCACAGGAGGAUACGAGAAUGGCAACGAGAAGAUCUGAGGACUACGAGAUUUAGGACGAACAAAUCUAGGAGCCAGAAGAUAUACCUGCUAGUAGACGCUAUGAUCUUAAAAAAGUCUUGAACCAACGUGACCUUCAGAAUUUUUCAUCUGUAAAAUGAAACAUUGGGCUAGACGGUCCCUGAAACUUCUUAAAGUCCAUGAUUCUGUGGUGGAAGGGGUUGGUACAGCUUUGAUUUCAUUGUCUGUUUAUACCUGACUGAGUUCUCUUGUGACAUGUGACUGUCCUUCUUAAGAAACUGAAAGACAACCAAGUAGCUGAUUGUUGAGAUACCGAAAUGUUUUAGGGAAUGCAGAGAAUACAGCCUACCUGAUAUAAAGUCUGACAGCAACAACAAAAAUCUCUCUGGGCAACUGUAUUUAAUAAUUAAAACAAAAGGUUUGGAGGAAAUAUUCAAAUUGCCACUUUAACAGGAGAGUAACCUGUGGUGAGAAUGCUUCAACAGUGAUAUGGACUGGCAUUAGAGCUAAAGAAUCCCAGCCUGAUUUGAUAGUGACUCUAGCUGUUUUAUGUUCCUCAGGAAUCCCAGGAUGUCUUUCAAACAAACAAACAAAACAAACAACAACAAUGACAUAUUAUCUUCAUCACUUAUCACAGAUGAUUUUCCCAGAAUUGUUGGCUCAAAUUUUAGAAGAAAUUCUAGAAACUGAUUCAACCUAAAAUUAAAACCUGCUAGCUCUUCAUGUAAAUCAUGGAAUCACUUGUUUGCUGCUGAACCGCAUGUUGACAUUGAAGUACAGAUGUUUGAUGAUGAAUUCAUUCCUCUUUGUAUAACAGCAACUACAUGAUAAACCAGGGAAAAAAUGGCAGCAUCUUUUAUAUCUUCAUUUGUUUGAAACAGAUAAAAAUAUUUCAUUUUCCUUAUUCGAUGUCAAAUUACCCAAUAAUGACAAAAUCUAAACUUACAUUUUCAAGGGAUUUUUAAAGUGUAUUAAAUUUGUAAAGGUAAAGCAAUACUUUAAAGUAAACACACAGUUUGAAAUAUAUCAGUUAUGGAGCCAACUGAGAUGUCAAUAAUUUAGUAGUUUUUCUCUCCAAAAAUAGAGAAUAUUCAGAAGCAGAUCCAGAAAGUUUCAUUUUAACCUCAGUUGGAACCAGGAAGAGGAACUGAGGUUGCUUACUAGCAGAUCAUAAUACAGUGGACACUGACAUUCUUCCACACAUUAAGUCAUUUGUACUUUCUCUUUGACAAAUUUAAAAUCUCAGAAGUUAAUUGUGGGAGCUAGUCCUGAUUCACCAAGAUCAACUAGCAGUUGCCGGAACAUUUUCUUUCAAAAGCUUGAAAAUGAAUCAAGUUUACUUGUUAAGAUGUCUAGCAAAUAGCAAGAUAAACAUGGUAAUACACUCAGUUUUAAAUAUAUAAGUUUAUAUCAAUAAUAUAUUUAAAAUAGCGUACUUUAAGGUUACUAAUGAAUAUAUGAAGCAAAACGAAAAAUGUUAGUUUGCAAGAGAAACUGAUUUUAUUUAAUGACUUAUUUUACUUCAGUAAAAUAUUGGUUAAGCAGAAUAAUUGAAAAAAGAAAUAUCUGAGUAAGCAAAACUUUGAUUUGGCUAGAAAAUAAAGUAGAUUUUUCUUGCACUUGUAGCCUCACUGUUGAGAAUUUUAAGAAAUGAUCCUCCUUGUUUAAAUUCAAUUGGCCUUUAAUGGGCACAUAACACAUGCUGGGCAUUACAGUGGGAGGCUGAAAAGAAUACCAUAAAUAAAUAAUUCCCCUGGCUCUUAAGGAAUUCUUAGACUCAAUGAAUAGAGUACACUGAACACAAGUGAAUUUUAUAUAUAUAUAUGUAUAUAUAAAUUCUAUAAUCCUUCAGACUUAAAUUCAGUUUCAGAAAAAAAAAAAAAAAAAAGCUCAUUUUGAGUUUCGAUUUCCAUUGCCUUAGCCUGUAGAUGGAAGUGGAGAAGAGCAGAGGAAGGAUCACUGGCUUUAGAAGAAGUCUUGAGGAUGAAACGAAAUAAUGUGUGUGAAUGCUCUUGGCAUAAUAUAUGCUACUUUGCUAAUAUCAACAGCAUUAAUAUUUAUUUAUUUAUUUAUUUAUUUAUUGUAUCAGUCACACGGCAGACAUUAUUAUGUUGACUGUCUCUCUGAUAAGGGCUUGCAGAUGGGAAGGAAGUUGGAUGUCACAGACUUUUUCUUGAUUAAUCAACCAAACAUGCAUUGUGUAUCUAUCAGAGUAAGACUGAACUACAUAGGUUAAGUCAUACAAACCAGGUUGCUCUGUGAACACAUAGGAAGGACAUCAAAACCAAAUGUUGGGUGCCAGAAACUGAUUCCUUAAGGAAACCAAUAUUUGAAGAAUGAGGUGAAUGUACCAUGUGAAUGUGGGUACGUUUUUAGACAGUUGUUUGCAAUUUAGAGCAGUUGUUUCUAUGAAACAAAUGAAGGAAUUGUUGGUUUCAGAAACUCAGACAUCAGUUAAAUUUUGAAGUUAGACCAAAAAAGCCUGUAAUUAUUUAUAAACUGAAAUAGAAUCCUUCUUUUAUAUAAAAUUUUGUCACAAACUAUUGGAAUGAGCUUACCUAGUAUGCAUUCUAUAUAAUAUAAUUAUUGAGAAAUGGAAUCUUAGCACCUGUCUGCCAGUGUUAAAUGGCAACUAAGGAGCAUUUAAUUCAUCAAAAAUGUACUGAGUUUCUAUUAAAUUGAUAGAGCUGUCAGAGGAUGAGGGAAUACAAAAGAGAUUUCAAGUUGUCUCUUUUCCAGGAACUUACAAUCUGCUGGGAAAGACAUAGAUACAUACACACAUAACUAAACAAAAUUAGGUUUAAAAUAGAAUACGUACAAGUGUUACACAGGUGAGUAAAGUGGAGCAUUUAGUUUUACAAUAUGUUAAGGAUUUAGAAGCAAUAAUAAACUAUGAAGAUAAACGGUGAUAGUUUAACACUGUCUCUAAUUCUCCAUUUGGCUCUGGAUAUUUAAAAUCACUUAAGCAGAAUUGUUUGUAUGCCCGGAUGUCAGAAUAUUGACUGUCUCUUUCCCCUUCCCAUUUGUCUUACAAUAAUUUUUUUACCAUCAAAUCUUUUCUGCCUAUGUUCCUGGAUUUUUAUAGCCCAACAAAAGGGUGUAUCUCAGCAUUCUGUCAGAAUUGCCUAAUUUAGGAUCUUCAAAUUUGAGACGUGGAUCUUAGCUGAGGGGAUGGAGAGCAUUUAAGGUGUUCUUUGCUUUGGAUGUCAUGACAAAUAUAUGACUUCAGAAAGAAUAACAAAAACUUCGAUUUCUGCUAAACCUUUCAAAGAAGAGAUGCUUUGAAUCUAUUAAAAUCUCAGUUAAAACUCUGACUCUUGUGUAUGUUUCAAUUGGUUCUUAUCCCAUUCUCUCUUUGGUUCACACUUCACCAGCCACACUGGCUUUCCUUCUGUCCCUCAAAAAGCUGAUUGUUAUUUCUUUACUCCUUAGCCUCUUUAUCCUGACUGUCUCCAACUCCUCCAGAUCUUUGGUCAGUUAGCUACUUCUCAUCAUUUAGGUUUCAGUCCAAACGUCACCUUUUAGAGAGAUCUUGCCUGACCAUCUAGCCUUUUGUGUCAUUUGUUUUCAGGAACAGGUAAAAGAAAAUGUGGUUCAAGUUUAUGUUAACAGCAGGAAAUAUGAGAUCCUACAAGAGGAGAUCCUGAAAUCAGGUGAGUUUCAGGUGAUUGACUUAGUACCCUAACAAGUUCGUUCCUUUUUUAACUCCAGCUUCCAUAUCAUUAUAUUCCUCCUACAGCUGGUUCCCCCUUCAUGAUGGUAAAAAUGGUUUCAGGAAAAUUCUGGGCCACAAGGCUCCUUGUUAAUACCAUAAAACUAUUAAUUUGUUAUGGUUCUUCCAUAAAAUUUUUUUUAAAACUUUCUCUGAUGCCUGCAGUAAACUGGUUUUACAUUUUUUUGACUGGAACUGAGUCACAUGAUUAUGCUUGAACCAAUCAUUGAUAAAGUAGAUGGGAAUAAUUUAUAAAUAUGAGAUAUGAGUCAUCACCAUUUGAACUGAAAUCCUUCUCCAAAUCAUGCAUUGCUGUUAUUCAUCAAGAGAUGAUGAAGUAAGUGCUGGAGAUUCAACCAAAAUGUCUACAUUUCCCUCAAAUAUAAUCUUAUUGUCUUUUUGAGUUUUUACACUCACCACAA